GGAUGCGAUCAUACCAGCACUAAAGCACCGGAUCCCAUCAGAACUCCGAAGUUAAGCGUGCUUUGGCGAGAGUAGUACUAGGCUGGGUGACCUCCUGGGAAGUCCUCGUGUUGCAUUCCC
rnacentral:rRNA from 2 species